GACGUAGGGCGCGAGCGUUGUCCGGAUUUAUUGGGCGUAAAGAGCUCGUAGGCGGUGUGUCGCGUCGGCCGUGAAAACCUGCAGCUUAACUGUGGGCUUGCGGUCGAUACGGGCAUCACUGGAGUUCGGCAGGGGAGACUGGAAUCCUGGUGUAGCGGUGAAAUGCGCAGAUAUCAGGAGGAACACCGGAUGGCGAAGGCAGGUCUCUGGGCAGUUAACUGACGCUGGAGGAGCGAAAGCAUCGGGAGCGAACAGG
rnacentral:rRNA from 1 species